CGUAACUCUGAAUGACAUGCGUUCUCAUAAUGUGCUUCUGCUGAGUGCUCUCAAAUUUUUAUUCGUUUUCUAUCUUGCAAUUGCAGAUAAAAAAAUGGCAAAGCAAAAGUAAAUUCCCCAGUCAUUCUUAUUAAGUGGACUGAUGAGAACCUUAUCAUCACUACGAUGUGCCAAGCUUCUUCAAGCCCACAUCUAGUCUAGAUAACAUGGAUUUGAUCGACUACAUCUCUUUGUUGGAUUCUUGGAUUCAUAGUGAAAAGGUCAUCGUAUUCAGAUGGACCAGUUAGGAUGAUAAUAAAACCCCUUAUCAUUUCACCGAUUACUCAAUUCCAGAGAAAUGUGAUGGAAAGAAAAUGAUAAUGAAGACUGGCUUCAUUCUCUUUCACUGUGAUAUUUCCAAAAUUGCUUGACGCUUUGUAUCAGCCAGAAGAAUUGGCCAACAUGUCUCUCUCCGGCAAUGCCUGCCCGAGUAUGCCAGGCUCUAAGUCAAAGCCAGAAAUUCCCAAGGAGGCCUUGAAUGAAAUUAUAGGUUUUAGGCAACAUAUUGGGAUCAAGCAUACAAAGGAUCGAUUCUGACAGAGCAGCAAGUUAAAGAAGCUGUAAGUGCCAAACUCAUUGCGGUCCAAACAAGAGAGAAAAAGCAGAAAAACAAGAUGCUAGCCAACGAGGCAUCGUCACCACUUACUGCAGGAGUUCCUUCGAAAGUCAAAAGUUUGUUAUUUGUAUUAUUGUUCUAUUGUCUACUCUUAGUUGUGUGGAGUGAAAUUUAUGUCUGUUCGUUAGAGUGCGUGAUUAUGCCCAACAUUAUGUGUCGUGUUUUGAAAUACAAAGUCGAA